UGCCAGUCGGAAUCAGCGGGAGGGGCGACCGAGAUAACGCGAUAUUUGGGGGCUGCCCCGAGACGCCCCUGGCGCGGAUCCUAAAUCCUGACAGAGCUUUAUGGAGCCCAAUUCUGGCAGGCUUCCAGGACUCGAAGCCACCAGACCCCACAUGGAACCAAGGGCCGCGUGUUCAGCUGCUGCACCCUUGAGAAGACCGUUCCAUGUUCUCGUGGGAGUCACUGGGAGUGUUGCAGCCCUGAAGUUGCCUGUUCUGGUAUCAAAGCUUUUGGACAUUCCUGAUCUGAAAGUAGCCGUGGUCACAACUGAGAGGGCCAAACAUUUUUACAGCCCCCGGGAUGUUCCUGUCACCCUCUACAGCGACGCUGAUGAAUGGGAGAUGUGGAAGUGCCGAUCGGACCCGGUUCUCCACAUCGACCUGCGGAGGUGGGCGGACCUUAUGCUGGUGGCGCCUCUCGAUGCCAACACUCUGGGGAAGGUGGCCAGUGGCAUCUGUGACAACUUGCUUACCUGUGUCAUCCGGGCCUGGGACCGCAGCAAACCCCUGCUCUUCUGCCCGGCGAUGAACACCGCCAUGUGGGAGCACCCCAUCACCGAGCAGCAGGUGGGCCAGCUCAAGGCCUUCGGCUACAUCGAGAUCCCCUGUGUGGCCAAGAAGCUGGUCUGUGGAGACCAAGAUACAGCCUUGACCAACAGUCUCACAUCUCACAAGGAAGCAGACAAAGCCCAGCUGGCAAAAGUAAGGGGCCUAGAAGGUUUUCUCGGAUCGUGUCAGGUUUUCUCCAUUUAUUCAUCCCUGAUGGUAGUUCCAAGGGAAGAGGGGUACGAGGAAAAGAAAGCCUUUUUUAAUAGAGCAGGCUGACCAAGGCACAGGGAGAGCAAGGACUUGGACCCCUGUCCGCAGCAUUCAAGAGGCAGCGCCUGAGCCCGCUGGGAGGGGCAGCCACCAGGACCAGAUUAGGGGAGGAUGCCCCGUGCAGCUGAGCCUCAGAGCCUUGUUCACUUGGUUAGAAAGUGCAGACAGUAAAGUAUGCCUUUUCCUUGUGGCUCUGAAAGAGGAAUGAUGAUGAAGGGGCUCUGAGGUCAUCAGAGAACAAAGAUAGUCCUGAACUAGACUAGACUGGAGAAUUCCCAAAGGAAUCCUGCAGUAAGAGCCAGACCUCUUCCCCGCCCCGACGGCUCUGCCUGCAGCCAAGGAGCCCCGUCUGGUGAUGAGAACCUGCCUGUUAGAAGUCUUGGGCUGUGAACAUGCCCCUCUCACCAGCUUCCGGGGGAGGAGACUCACCUGUGCUGAGCCCUGGUGCUAGGCCCUUUGCACACAAGACUUGUACUUCAUCGGUCAUCCUGCGAGGUGCGCACUGCUGCCAUCCCCAUCUUAGUGAGGGAAGAUGAUGCACAGAGGAUUUACCCAAUCGGAGUAAAAAAUGUGGAGAUGGAUUUUGAGCCAGGUGUGGCCAGUUCCAAGGUUGGCCCUCUUUCUUCUCCAUGGAAAGUGAUCUCCAGUUGCUAUGAGUAUGCCUUCAGGAUGGGAUGUCAGCUGCCAAAUAGCUAGUUUUCAGACAUUUGAGGAAGCUACCGGAGGAUGUGCUCCAGCCCACAGAAGGGCAUAAACCAAGAAAGAAGAAAUAAGGACCCACUACUGAGAAUAUGGAGGCAAGAAGAAUGGAAUUUUCUCCAAGAGUCCCAAGUAAUCCAGAGAGGAUGUCUGUGUGGCUUUCCUUCCCUACCUCGCCCAACUCCCACACUGGCCUUUAUAAAUGAAUGGUGUGGUCUUUGCUGUGAAGAAAAAAAAGAGGAAAUAGAAUGCAGGAAAAACAGUUCAUUAAGGGAAGAAGCACAGGAUGAUAGCCGUGGGGCUGAUCUAGAGCUAUUAGUUCAGAUGGAGGCAGGAGAACCAGGGGCUCCAGGAGGGGUGUCUCAGAGUUAAAAAAAAUAACGAAUUAUAGUGAAAAUGUGUAUCGAGAAUCAUUUUACAGGACUUUUGCAGGGUGUGGGAUGUGUCAAAAGAAAAAAAAAAAGCAAAUGAAAAAAUGAGUCAACAAUUAAUUCUGAAGAAGAAAAGAAGUUUAUGAAGCAAGGACAGGUAUUUAUGAAGAAAGGAAAGGACAGCAUAUUACUUGGCUUAGCAGUGAGCACCAUUUACUGAUUGUGAGUGUAACCAAGAAAUGUGGUGUUAUGAUAUCAAAAGGAGAGGAAAGAGUGUAAGUGAAUCUCAUCUGUCAUGAGAGGAGUGCCAAGAGACAGUAUCUAAAUUGGACUUCUCUGAGAUAGAAAUAAUAGCAAUAAAUGCUUUAUUUUGUUGUUGUUUUUCA